UUUUGAAUAUUUAGCAACUUUAGCUAUUUUAAUUUCACAGGAUAAUGUGUCAAAUCUAAUAAAUCAGCAAUUAUCCUUUAAACAAAAAAUUUUAAACUGUUUCAUUAACCUUUAAUAGAGUUAUGAAAUGAAUUUGAGUUUUUAUCUUUUCUUAGUUAAUAUAUAAACAUGUACUUGGUAUUGUAACCAUGGCAAACCCUUAAGCUAAGAAAGGGCAAGUGAGACUGCAGUAAUUUCCUCUAAAUCAGCAGUUCUCAAACUAUUGGGAGUUGGGGGCGAACAUUUUUUCCAUGGACCCCAUUUAUAAUCCACACGCUGAUAACUCUCCCAUUAUUUUAAUUAUUAUUAAUUUGAAAUUAUCUUUUGUACUCCUAGGUAGUGUAGAUUGUUUUACCUUUUAAACCCUAAAAAUGUUUUUGAAGACCUCUAAAAAAAAUAUCCAAGUUAUGGUUUGUAACUAACUACAUUAUUCAUUUUUAGGUAACAAAAUUCAAAGCCAGAACUCAUGACAGGCUUAGACUGUUAUUUAUUCAUUUAUUUUUUAUUCAGGCAAAAGUGGCCGUUAUUUUUUUGUUAUUUGAAAGUAGGCAGACAGGAAGUGGAACAAAGAGAGAGGGAAGAUAUGCUUCUAAUGUGUCUUCUUAUUUCUUGCAUGGACAAUAAUUAUAUUUAGGGGUUACAGUCACUAGUUCACAGCCCUGACUUAAUCCCAUCAUCAUAUUUGCUUUCAGCCCAGAGUUCAUAGAGAACUUCAGACAACAUCAGUCAUUUUCUACCGCUUCUUCCAUAGUGGGUUGCGGGGAAGCUGGUGCCUAUCUCCAGCAGUUUAUGGGUGGGAAGCGGGGUACACCCUGGACAGGUUGCCAAUCCAUCGCAGGGCAAUACAGACACAUACAGGACAAACAACCAAGCGACUCUGGGAGGAAGCCGGAGUACUUGGAGAGAGUACUUCAGACAACAUACACAGUGACCUGAAACAGAUCUGUUUCAGAUGAAAAGAAAAACAUGUUUCAGAUUUGGUACUGUGGUGGGUAAUAGCUCCACAGUUAAGGAAGAAGGCCUGUUCUUUGCAGAGUCUUUUAGAGAACAUGAGUUGAGGUUUUGUGGUACCACUGUCCAAUCUGACUCUUUUUGACAUUCUGAAAUAAAAUAACCCAAAUCUUUCCAUUGAAUGUUGUGGAGGUGCUGGAAAUUCACCUGCCUUAAUAACAGAAGAGGUUGCUCCUGAGUCUAAAUAAAUGAUAUUCUUUGAUCUGAAACUGUCAGAUCAAACAUUGAAAAUUAUUUAAUUUUAAUAAUAAUUUACUCAAGUCAUCACAGUCGUCACAACGCAGAUCUUCCUUGCAUGAAAUAAAGGAAGUAGAGAGGGAGGGUUGAUCAUUUGUGUGUGCAUGAAGUAGGAGGGAUAGAGAGAGAUUUGGGUGGAUGUCUGUGUUGAGGGGGUGUGGUGUGGUGCAGUACUGCUCUGACUAGCUGUCUGGUGGUGUGGCCCGUCCCCCUUGCCUUGGUUAGUCAAUAAGCUUUUGAAGGCGGAGCAAUGGCUGGAUUGGGGCAGCUGACUCUCCAUUGUCCCCAGUGGCCUCAACUAAAGCAGAUAUCAGGAUUAUAGAGGAAUCUGCUCCUAUUACAUCCACGCCCUCUCCAAUGUCUCCACCUGCUUCGUCCUCUCCCUGUCCCUCCCUGUGCAGCGUGCUGGUAUGUUGCAAUCACAGCAAGGAGCAGUUCUAUUUCAGAUUUGUCCUUUUUAGUUUUCCGUGAUCAUUGGGGAGGCGAGGUUGCUCAGCCCAACCUAUGUAAGCAAAUUUGAAAGGCAGUGCUACAUGUGGAAGCAGUCCUUUUAUGAUGGCAUUUCAAACUAGAGUUUCCAAUACUCCAGAUUCCUGGCCCAAAUCAGUGGACUAUGGUGUGACACCGUACUUGGCCACUUUUUCAAUAACUCCUUCAGUGAACUCAUCUAUGGUCUUAUCAGGCUUCUGCUUGCAGGUAAUCUCCAGAGUAUGCACUUCCAUCCUCUCCAGAGAUUACUAUCAGAACAGCCAUCUUCAUCACCGCCAGAACCCCCUGGAAUAUAAUUCCCCCCAUAUAAUUCAAGAGGACGUCAAAGAUGACCUGCCUCUGCAACCUCCUCUACUUCCUGUGUUUGUCUCUGGAGUCGUCAUCAUCUCCACCAUCUAUUAUUGAAUCUUUAGAAUCCCGGCACCUCCUGGAGUCCUCAGAGACCCAACAUCUCUUCAACACUCUCCUGCAGCCUUUAGAGCUCUAACUCCCUCUAAGUCUCCAGCGUCCAGGAAUUUUCUUGAGUCUCCAGAAUGGGGUGGGGACAACCCAUCUCUCAAAGCUCUUGCGUUUCCUGAGGAUGUCAAGGAUGACCCGCCUCAUCCACUGACUGUUGCUGAGUUCUCAAAAGUGGUUGAGAAUAAUCAUCCUCUCCUACUUCCUAUGCUAUUAUGGCCUCCUAACCUCUAUCAUUGGAUUUAAUGACCUUCAGAGAAUCCAGAGCUCUCCUGAAUAUUUUUUUCUUUCAGUCUCUCCUACAGAGGCCCCUUUCUUCAGGUUAGUUACAGGUGGUCUGUUUUUUGACGCUGGGGAGGGUGCUGCUAUUGUCUUGAUUCUCCUUUUGUUGUCGCAACUACUUUCUAAAACUACACUUUCACAUGA